rnacentral:lncRNA from 1 species
UGUCGACUACCAGGCUGCGUUAGGAGCUACCGUCUUCAGCUUUUUCUCGCUGCUGAGAGCUGUUUUGUUACUCAGUAAAACUCUUCUCCACCGUGCUCACCCUUCAGUUGACCGUGCAACUUCAUUCUUCCUGGACAUAAACCCGGGACCCACAGAACAGCGGGUGCAAAAAGGGCUGUAACGCUUUCCUGGCCGGAUCGCCAAGCUGCACGGAGUUUGAAAGAAUAAAGAGAUGGAGGGAACGCAUCAUAACCUGGUAUGACCUGGAUCAACAUAAACAAAGGGGUUUAGAUAGCUCAUGGUUCUGCUGGUUAGGAAGUUCAAGCGCAAGGCCCUGACUUCUGGUAAGUGCUUUCAUGCUGCAUCAACACGACUAAGAAGGUCAAAGAAGAAGUGGACAGGGGAUAUAAAAAUAAUGCAUUGUAUGCCGGAAGGGAUAAAUCUGGGGCUGAGUACAAGCAAAACAAGACCAAAGGAAGCUACCUGAGCAGGUAUUCCAGAUACUCAUGUCAUACACCAAGGUUGUACCAGUGCCCCUUUCUCUGUGACACAUCCAUCCACUGGAAACUUUCGUACAACUAGCUGAAAGAAGAGAAACAUCCUAUUUCAUGUCACUGGAGCCCUAAUGAUCGCAGCCAUUUCAGGAAAUGCCAUCAAUUACAGUGAGGAGCUCAUUCAGAAGUGAAAGAUGAGUUCCAUUCUCUGUUACUUAGAGGUCAGUGAUCAUUCCCCAACCUCUUCAUAGUGAACAAAUAGUACAGUAUUUUGAGCAGAUUUUUGUCAGAUUUUUGUGUGUAGAGAGAAAAAAAUGCAGGACAAUAGAUUAUAUUGGAUGUAGAUGAAGUUUGGGCAGAAUCAGGGAUCAAUGGCUCCAUCUAAAUUGUUGCACCAAAACACAGACAUACACCUGCUUUUAGAUUUGAAGAGUGCGUGAGACGUGCCUUCGCUCCUCUUUUGCUUUCUGCCAUGACUGUGAGGCCUCCCCAGCCAUGUGGAACCAAUCACUGGACGCUUAAGUUGAGUAAUGGCUUUUUAUUGAGGGUAUUACAAAGCUCAAAUCUGAGAAAACCUUGUCUACCAUCAACCCUGACCUACAGAGGAGAGGCACCCCCAAGCUUAUUAGUGAUCCUGUCUCCGUCUUAUUGGCACAUCCUGAUGGCCUUGAUCUCUAGUUCUUCCUGUGGAGCAUAACCAUAUGGUUCUUUGCCAAGAUGUUAAGACCAAAGUCGGAGAGUGAACCCCAUGUCAAUGAAUUCUUGUUUUUCUGAUCUUACAUUCCAUCACUUUGAUCCAGUACUCUCAAAAUGCAAUCACAGUUGUACAUGUCUUCUCCUGUCAAUAAACGCUACCUUAGUACUGCGGGUGGAUAUCCUCCUCCACUGAAUGCAAACUAUUAAGUAAUGAAAAGACAGCACUCCAAGCAAUAUAGAUUUAUAGGCCAACCUGGCAAUCAAGGGUAACUGACAUGAAAAUGGAUUGCUUCACAUUUUAAUUACAAAGAUACUCUUCAGUACCAUAAAUUGAAGAAAACACUAACUUUUUGUGGCUACUGUAAUUGUCAAAGUAUAAUUACCUGUGUUUUCUCACCUACGUAUUUGAGAUAGAGACAAAACCAAGUAAGUUAAUCCACUUAUAAUAAAAAUGUCUUCUGAGAAUAUGAUUGAAGCUUUGUGGCAACUCUGUGAACAGCAAGUCUGUCAGUGCCAUUUUUCCAAUAGCAUGUGCCUACUAUGUGUCUGUGUAUGUCAUUUUGUUAAUUUCUGCAACAUUUCAAACUUUUGUAUUAUUAUUAUAUUUGUUAUGGUGAUUUGCGGGAACACAAUUAUUUCUGGAAAGAGUAUUACACUCAGUAUUCUGCAUUUCAUAUGGCAUUUCAAAGUCCUGAGAAUGACUCUCCGUAGUCUUCUAUGUACUAAUUAAACAUGAACAUGUGGUAAACAACAUGGACUAUUCCAGUGGACAGAAAGCGUCAAGUUAAAAUGUUUAAGUGCCCCAUAUUUUUCUAAGUAUUCUUAUCCAGUUGGUCUGACUGGUCAUUAUCUGUUUUGUAAAACUUCCCAAACAACUCAUCAAUAUUUAAAUAGCUUUCAACUGAUGGACUGUACAGAGAGAGGAGCACUUUUGGAAUAAUCCUCACAGCCUAAAGGCCAAUGAUGACACAGAUGGUGAUGUUUUUAAGGAGGUGAUUGAUAGAAGAUAUUUGAUCCCUUUGGUUUGGAGUCUACCAACUGAGAUAAAGGAGAAGAGCUGAGAAGCCUUGUAACAUUAGUAUUCUUUGUCUCUUUGUGGAUGACCCUUUCACAUUAAUAUCGACAUCAGAAACUGAAUUCAAGAAAAGAAAGGGAGAGUCACACAUUCUUUCAAUAAUCCUUUGUCAGUGAACAUUUGAGCACCAUAGGAAGCCAAAUCAGACAUCACUUAAAAUAGUUUUUGGGUCAAGAUUACAAAAAAAAGGAAGACAGGAAAGAACAGUGGAAUCAGCAGGAAUGUGUCCCCUAAAGUCCCUUAAACUAAGUUGGAACACAACCCAGAGACUUCCUUUGGCCUGGAGGCAAACUUAGGAGCUGCCUUUCAGUGUCAUCUCAGGAGCAUCCUUGAAAGAAUCAGGGAAGAAAGU